rnacentral:rRNA from 1 species
UUCCGGUUGAUCCUGCCGGACCUGACUGCUAUCGGAUUGAUACUAAGCCAUGUGAGUCAUUGUAGUAAUACAAGGCAGACGGCUCAGUAACACGUAGUCAAUCUACCCUAUGGACGGGGAUAACCUCGGGAAACUGAGAAUAACACCCGAUAGAUCAUAAUUCCUGGAACGGUUUAUGGUUCAAAUGAUUCGUCGCCGUAGGAUGGGACUGCGGCCUAUCAGCUUGUUGGUGAGGUAAUGGCCCACCAAGGCUAUUACAGGUACGGGCUCUGAGAGGAGAAGCCCGGAGAUGGGUACUGAGACACGGACCCAGGCCCUAUGGGGCGCAGCAGGCGAGAAACCUUUGCAAUGUGCGCAAGCACGACAAGGUUAAUCCGAGUGUUUCCUGCUAAAGGAAUCUUUUGUUAGUUGUAAAACCACUAUCGAAUAAGGGGUGGGCAAGUUCUGGUGUCAGCCGCCGCGGUAAAACCAGCACCUCAAGUGGUCAGGAGGAUUAUUGGGCCUAAAGCAUCCGUAGCCUGUUCUAUAAGUUUCCGGUUAAAUCCAUUAGCUCAACUAAUGGGCUGCCGAAAAUACUGUAGAACUAGGGAGUGGGAGAGGUAGACGGUAUUCGGUAGGAAGGGGUAAAAUCCUUUGAUCUAUUGAGGACCACCUGUGGCGAAGGCGGUCUACCAGAACACGUUCGACGGUGAGGGAUGAAAGCUGGGGGAGCAAACCGGAUUAGAUACCCGGGUAGUCCCAGCCGUAAACGAUGCAGACUCGGUGAUGCGCUGGCUUGUGGCCAGUGCAGUGCCGCAGGGAAGCCGUUAAGUUUGCCGCCUGGGAAGUACGUACGCAAGUAUGAUACUUAAAGGAAUUGGCGGGGGAGCACCACAAGGGGUGAAGCCUGCGGUUCAAUUGGAGUCAACGCCGGGA